rnacentral:rRNA from 1 species
UACGUAGGGUGCAAGCGUUAAUCGGAAUUACUGGGCGUAAAGCGUGCGCAGGCGGUUGUGCAAGACAGGGGUGAAAUCCCCGGGCUUAACCUGGGAACUGCACUUGUGACUGCACGGCUGGAGUACGGCAGAGGGGGAUGGAAUUCCGCGUGUAGCAGUGAAAUGCGUAGAUAUCAGGAGGAACACCGGUGGCGAAGGCGCUCAUCUGGCCCAAUACUGACGCUGCAGCGCGAAAGCUAGGGGAGCAAACGGG